AGCUAAUACCGCAUAACGUCGCAAGACCAAAGAGGGGGACCUUCGGGCCUCUUGCCAUCGGAUGUGCCCAGAUGGGAUUAGCUAGUAGGUGGGGUAACGGCUCACCUAGGCGACGAUCCCUAGCUGGUCUGAGAGGAUGACCAGCCACACUGGAACUGAGACACGGUCCAGACUCCUACGGGAGGCAGCAGUGGGGAAUAUUGCACAAUGGGCGCAAGCCUGAUGCAGCCAUGCCGCGUGUAUGAAGAAGGCCUUCGGGUUGUAAAGUACUUUCAGCGGGGAGGAAGGGAGUAAAGUUAAUACCUUUGCUCAUUGACGUUACCCGCAGAAGAAGCACCGGCUAACUCCGUGCCAGCAGCCGCGGUAAUACGGAGGGUGCAAGCGUUAAUCGGAAUUACUGGGCGUAAAGCGCACGCAGGCGGUUUGUUAAGUCAGAUGUGAAAUCCCCGGGCUCAACCUGGGAACUGCAUCUGAUACUGGCAAGCUUGAGUCUCGUAGAGGGGGGUAGAAUUCCAGGUGUAGCGGUGAAAUGCGUAGAGAUCUGGAGGAAUACCGGUGGCGAAGGCGGCCCCCUGGACGAAGACUGAC
rnacentral:rRNA from 1 species